rnacentral:lncRNA from 1 species
GAUAAAGAUCUUUUCGCAAUAAAAUUCAUAUUUGAUUUAAAAUUUAAUUUUGAAUCACUUUAAUAUUUAAAUUCAAAUACGAUGAUAUAUUAUGUAGGUGAUGGAUGUGUAUGGUAGGUGGAUUAUUGAGAUAUUUGAAAAAUUCACGGAUAUUACGUUGCGAAAGAAUUGGCGGGUGCAUAUAUUACACUAAUAUUUAAAUUCAAAUACGAUGAUAUGUUUAAUUCAAAAUUAUGAUAGGUCAUAUUACUUAUGAGAAAUUAGUUAAAAAGAUAAAGAUAUUUUCGCAAUAAAAUUCAUAUNUUGAGAAACGCGUAGAUAGAAAAUAUGAUAUAAAUGCGAGGGUAUUAUUGUCACAAAAAGUGACAGAUACUUUUAUUUUCAAUCAUUAGAUAAGAUCUAAUUGCAAAAAAUUAAUAUCUUUAUUUUAGAAUAAAUUAUUACUUAGUUAAUUAUUAUAUUUAAACCAAAUUAAAUAAAAUUAAUUCAAAUAAGUUCAAAUUAAGUCAAAUUAUACCAAUUAAACAAUUAUCUAAAUCUUAAACUGUAAAUAUUAAUUCAAAAUUCAAAAUUUAAUUUUGAUAUAUUUUAAAAUUUAAAUUCAAAUACGUUAAAAUUUAAUAGAUUAUUUGAGAUGAAUGAUUCAAAAUUUUUGGAUAUGAAAAAAUUAGUUAAAAAGAUAAAGAUAUUUUCGCAAUAAAAUUCAUAUUUGAUUUAAAAUUAAAUUUUGAAACAUUUUAAUAUGGCUAAAUUAUGGAAAACCCCCCUGUUAAAACCCGCUUUUUCACUUUCCCUCCUGUCAUUUAAAAACCUACACUUUGCCCCCUUGUAAAAUACAAAAUGUUCACAGGGGGGUACGAUGUGACAAAAUAACCAUUUUGCCCUUCGCCAUUUUCGUCUUCUCCCUCAUCCUCCUCAUCCGCGGCGGAGGAGGCCGACCUCGGGCGGGACGCAGGUGGCGAGGCCGUCGUCGAGAAGGACGAUCUCGUUGAGAGUGUCGGCCAUGCGGCCGAUGGAGGGCGGGAUGCAGCCGCCGAGUUUGUUGUGGGCGAGGAAGACGAUCGAGGCUGGGAAGUCGCCGAGGUUGGCAGGGAUGGGGCGGCGGCGGCUGAGGCGGUUGGAGUUGAGGAAGAUGGCGUCGAGGGGGCGGUCGAAGAGGAUGUUGAGCUCGUGGAGGAGGGUGAGGCCGGCGAGGGCACCGUCCCGGAAGCCAUCGAAGCAACAGGGAAGAGGAGCGGAGGGGUAUUUUUGGCAUAAAAAAAUAUUAUAACGAAACCCUAAUGGCAGGGGGUAAAGUGCACAUUUUUUAUUUUACAAGUGGGUAAAGUGUAGGUUUUUAAAUAAUAGGGGGGAAAGUGAAAAAUCGAGUUUUGACAGGAGAGUUUUCUGUAAUUUAGCCUUUUAAUAUUUAAAUUCAAAUACGAUGAUAUGUUUAAUUCAAAAUUAUGAUAGGUCAUAUUACGUAUGAGAAAGGUUAACUAGAUAUUAUAUAGGCAGUGAAUGUGUAUGGUAGGUGGAUUAAUGAGAUAUUUGAAAAAUUCACGGAUAUUACGUUGCGAAAGAAUUGGCGGGUGCGGAUAUUACGCGUGAGAAGAAAAAUAUUUGAGAAACGCGUAGAUAGAAAAUAUGAUAUAAAUGCGAAAGUAUUAUUGUCACAAAAAGUGACAGAUACUUUUAUUUUCAAUCAUUAGAUAAGAUCUAAUGGCAAAAAAUUAAUAUUUUUAUUUUAGAAUAAAUUAUUACUUAGUUAAUUAUUAUAUUUAAACCAAAUUAAAUAAAAUUAAUUCAAAUAAGUUCAAAUUACGUCAAAUUAUACCAAUUAAACAAUUAUCUAAAUCUUAAACCGUAAAUACUAAUUCAAAAUUCAAAAUUUAAUUUCGAUAUAUUUUAAGAUUUAAAUUCAAAUGCGUCAAAAUUUAAUGGAUUAUUUGAGAUGAAUGGUUCAAAAUUUUUGGACAUGAAAAAAUUAGUUAAAAAGAUAAAGAUAUUUUCGCAAUAAAAUUCAUAUUUGAUUUAAAAUUAAAUUUUGAAUCAUUUUAAUAUUUAAAUUCAAAUGCGAUGAUAUGUUUAAUUCAAAAUUAUGAUAGGUCAUAUUACGUAUGAGAAAGGUUAACUGGAUAUUAUGUAGGUGGUGGAUGUGUAUGGUAUGUGGAUUAAUGAGAUAUUUGAGAAAUUCACGAAUAUUACGUUGCAGGUGGUGGAUGUGUAUGGUAGGUGGAUUAAUGAGAUAUUUGAUAAAUUCACAAAUAUUACGUUGCGAAAGAAUUGGCGGGUGCGGAUAUUACGCGUGAGAAGAAAAAUAUUUGAAAAACGCAUAGAUAGAAAAUAUGAUAUAAAUACGAGAGUAUUAUUGUCACAAAAAGUGACAGAUGUUUUUAUUUUCAAUCAUUAGAUAAGAUCUAAUGACAAAAAAUUAAUAUCUUUAUUUGAGAAUAAAUUAUUACUUAGUUAAUUAUUUGAAAUGAUUGGUUGAAAAUUAUUGGAUUUAAAAAUAUUAGUAAAAAAGGAUAGAGGCAUUUUUGGAAAGAGGAAAAAAUUCAAAACUCACGCUUUUAUAAAUAGUAUAGAUAUAGAUAUAGAUAUUGCAUGUCACUUCCAUACUAUCACUCCUUCUGUAAUUUUUACUUCGUAAUUUUUUUUUUCUACUAUCACUCCUGGAAUUUUCUUAGUUCUUAGAUGUCGAUGCUUUAAAAUAGAACAUAUUAUUUUUAUUUUAUUAUUUAAAUACGAAGCAAAUAUUAAUUUUUUUUCUUGGAUGUCUUAUUGUUCUCAGGAUAUGGCACUUGGGUAUGAUUCUAUACGUGACAUCACUCUUCUUGGAGACAAAUGGAAGAUCAAAGUCAGAGUGAUUUGUCUGUAUACUAUGCCUGAAUUUCAUCAUCCAGAGAUGAUGAAUAGCCUAGAAUUAGUUCUUAAAUAUUAAUAUUAUUUGUAAUUUUUCAUAUCAAUUUUAGUUAUCAUUUUAUUUUGCACAUCAAUAUGCAAAUGUGAAUUGUUUUGCAUACCAAUUCAUAGAUAAUAAAGUAGGGUUGAAUUUUACUUUUUACUUAAGUAUUUAUUUUGGUCUAUAAUUUUUUUUCUCUAGUUUUUUGUACUUUAAUAUGUAUUAUUAUUAAGAUUGAUAGUAUAUUUCUUUAUUUGUUAAAAAAAUAUAAUAUUAAUUAGAAUAUUUUUUUAUCAUCACAUAAUAACUUUUGUUAUUUUAUAUUAUUAUAUUAUCCGUGUAUCAUACGGGUCAAAAACU